rnacentral:lncRNA from 1 species
AUCAAUUGCCUCUGAGGUUGCACCAUGCGGUCAUUUCACUGCUACAAAUGUGAUUUUUAAUAAUAAAUUUAUUAUCUAACAUUUAAUAAAAAUAUUACUAAAAAAUUUUAACGACAUUCAGAAAAUAUCAUAAAAUUAUAAAUAAAUGUUACUAAUAAUUCAUAUUAUUAAAAUAUUUUGUGAUAUUUUUAGACUUUAACAACAUAAAUUAUAUAUAAUAUUUGAUAAAAUAUUACAAAAAUAUAUUAAUAAUAUUUAUUUAUAAUUUGAUAAUAUUUUUGAAUGUGACCAAAGAUUUUUAUUAACAUUUUUAUUAAAUGUCAGACAAAAAAAUGAUACUAAAAGUUAGAUAUAUAGUAGUGAAAGGAAGAAGUCCAAAAUGCAUUUAAACAUAAGAAAGUAAACAGAAAUUAUACUAAAAAUUAAAAAAAUAAAAUAGAUAUCACCUUAUAAUCUUAUAUUUUAAAAUUCUACAUUAUAUUUAUUUAAAAAUAAAAUGAACUAAAAUUAAUAGGAAAAAAAAACAGAUGAUGGAUUAUUAGGUAGUAAACUCCAUACCGAAUAAGUAGUCACAAGAACAAGAACAAUGUUCACUCAAAUCUGGCUCAUGAUUGUUGUUUAUGUCACUGCAAUCGCUCUCCUCAUAUGUUUCAGGCUCAUGAUUGGUGUUUAUGUCAUUGCAAUCGUUCUCGUCAUAUGUUUCAGUUGCCUCUGAGGCUUAACCAUGCUUUGAUUCCAAGUCCAUAGCAGCUACCACGGCUUUCAAUAGCCGUGAACUAAUGCGCCGAAAUUUUUCUAAUUCAAAUAUUUGGCAGGCCAGACACAAUCGGGUAAGAAUGGUCACCAUUUCAAUGUUUUCAUCAGAUUAUUCAGCUUCAUUAAGGUUGCACCAUGUGGUGAUUUCAACUCCAAACCAAGUACACUGGCACCGGAUUUUAGCAGCAACCCGGGAGCGUGAAAGAACCACACAC